rnacentral:rRNA from 1 species
UACGUAGGUGGCAAGCGUUGUCCGGAAUUAUUGGGCGUAAAGCGCGCGCAGGUGGUUUCUUAAGUCUGAUGUGAAAGCCCACGGCUCAACCGUGGAGGGUCAUUGGAAACUGGGGAACUUGAGUGCAGGAGAGAAGAGUGGAAUUCCACGUGUAGCGGUGAAAUGCGCAGAUAGUCGGGAGGAACACCGGUGGCGAAGGCGGUCUCUGGGCCUGACCUGACGCUGAGGAGCGAAAGCGUGGGGAGCGAACAGG